ensembl:snRNA Gm22513 predicted gene, 22513
AUACUUACCUGGCAGGGGAGAUACCAUGAUCACGAAGGUGGUUUUCCCAGGGCGAGGCUCAUCCAUUGCACUCCGGAUGUGCUGACCCCUGCGAUUUCCCCAAAUGCGGGAAACUCGACUGCAUAAUUUGUGGUAGUGGG